GACGAACGCUGGCGGCGUGCUUAACACAUGCAAGUCGAACGGAAAGGCCCUGCUUUUGUGGGGUGCUCGAGUGGCGAACGGGUGAGUAACACGUGAGUAACCUGCCCUUGACUUUGGGAUAACUUCAGGAAACUGGGGCUAAUACCGGAUAGGAUCUCCUGCUGCAUGGUGGGGGUUGGAAAGUUUCGGCGGUUGGGGAUGGACUCGCGGCUUAUCAGCUUGUUGGUGGGGUAGUGGCUUACCAAGGGUUUGACGGGUAGCCGGCCUGAGAGGGUGACCGGCCACAUUGGGACUGAGAUACGGCCCAGACUCCUACGGGAGGCAGCAGUGGGGAAUAUUGCACAAUGGGCGGAAGCCUGAUGCAGCAACGCCGCGUGCGGGAUGACGGCCUUCGGGUUGUAAACCGCUUUCGCCUGUGACGAAGCGUGAGUGACGGUAAUGGGUAAAGAAGCACCGGCUAACUACGUG
rnacentral:rRNA from 1 species